GCGGCCCCGAGGGGCGGCGCCGCGAAUUUGAGGGGCUUGUGGUCGUUGUCCUUCUGGAAGGUUGAAGAUGCUCGCGCCCCUGUCCCCUACUUUAAAGCUCCGUCCCGUGGCGAUACUGUCAGUCACGUGAUCAAGGUUAGGGGCUGAGACCGAGUCCCGCAGCGGCGCGUGUGUUUGCGCCCCGGUUCCCGCACGCCGGGAGCUUUGGGGCAGGACGCUCCCCGGCUCGGUUUCCUCCAGCCCGGAGCGGGCGAGAGGUACGGCGCUUGUCACGCCGUGGGCUGCGCUACACAGCACCUGCAGAAAAGAAACUCUGCGUUCGGUAGUCAAAACAAAACACCCCAGUCCAGGUAUUGGGUUACUGAGAUCCCAUCAGGACAUUUCUAAAUCAAGGUAAUUGAGAAACAAAUGCUAAGUCAUUUGUUAUGAAGCCUAUUUAUUCGUGGAAGAUUUUGUACAUUAGAUUAUCACAAUUCUACAAAGGACGUGGUUUGCUAGAGUUUUCACGUAAAGACCUUAUGCAUGCAGUGGGAUAUUAAAGCCUUAUAUCGUUUUUAUCCCAUUAGGGAAAAUGUGCCUCGUCAAGCAGGUAAAAGAAGUCUGGCCAGAUUUGCCUUUGUGUCCUGAAAUCACUGGUGGAGUUCCUACUUGUUGGAUGCCUGUCUCCACUCUCUGAUGCCACCUCUCUCUACCCGGUCUUUUCUGGAGACAAGAGCAGCCAGUGCGGAUUCCCUCAGCCCUCUUCCACGAUUGUCAGCAGCUGGAGACGCUCUUUGUCUCAAGAGAGCUGCCCAGAACUGCAGUCUUGGUACGUUCACCCCAGGGAGGUGCCCCGACAACACCCCCCCCCCCCGCAUAUGGGGCAGGAAGAUCCUAGGGAUGUUACUGUCUCCUCCAAACUCAAGUUUCAGUUCAAUUUGACCACCUUUCCCUACCCCAGCUCCUGCCCAAUUUCUUUCUCCUCUCCUGUCUUGUUUGAAUCUCUGGAUUCUGGCCUCUUGCCUUGGAGGCUCUCCUGGUUUACCUCCUGGCAAGACCUCUGGACACAGAUUUUGGUCUACAGAUUGUAAUGCUACCAUCGUGUAGGUCCUCUUGUUUGGCAUGACUUUCUUUCCUUUUUUUUUUAUUGUUUAUUUUUUAUUUUGAGAGAGAAAAGCACAAGUGGGGCAGGGGCAAAGAGGGAGAGAGAAUACCAAGCAGGCUCCACACUGCCAUCACAGAGCCCGACGUGGGGCUAGAACUCACAAACUGAGAUGAUGACCCAAGCCAAAACGAAGACCGUCUCCUAACCAACUGACCCACCCAGGUGCCCCUGGCAUGACUAAUUCAGUUUUGUUGUGCCUUUAUUUAAAGGAAUGUUCUGAAAGCGUUGUUGUGUAUUGCUCAGGCUGUUUCCACUUCAGGGCUUAGCCCACCUCCUCUUGUGGCGGAUCAUUAACUAGUGUUAAUGAUCAGCCUCUUUACCUGAAUCUUCUCCCCUCCAUGCAGUAAUCACGGUUACUUCCCAACAGAGUCCCUUUUUCCUCCACCCCCACUGCCAUAGACUAACCUACUUAUCAGCCUCCAAAUUCUGCCCUUCUGGUUUGACUUUAGGAGUCAGUGGGGGAACGGGCAAAUCCUGUUUCACAGAAAGCACACACACAGUGAAGAUCAUAUGCAGGACAGCAAAUCAGAGAACGAGAGAAAAGACACUGGUCUUUCA
rnacentral:lncRNA from 1 species